rnacentral:rRNA from 1 species
AGCUCCAAUAGCGUAUAUUAAUGAUGCUGUGGUUAAAAAGCUCGUAGUUGGAUCUCGGUUUCAGGCGAAUAGUGCACUUUGUUGUGUUUACUGUUUGCUUGGACGAUUCUGUUGGUUCGUUUAUGGUUCCCUUAACCGGGUGCCAUAAGUGGCCAGCAAGUUUACUUUGAAAAAAUUGGAGUGCUUAAAGCAGGCGCUACAGCCUGAACACUAGUGCAUGGAAUAAUGGAAUAGGAUCUCGAUUCUAUUUCGUUGGCUUUCGGAGUCGAGGUAAUGAUUAAUAGGAUCAGUCGGGGGCAUUCGUACUGCGACGUUAGAGGUGAAAUUCUUGGAUCGUCGCAAGACGAACUACUGCGAAAGCAUUUGCCAAGAAUGUUUUCA